UGCGUAUGAGCCACAAGUACUUAUAAUACUUCCAAUUCGGUUAGAACAUAAUUUAUAUUUACGAAGUUGUGAAGAGUUGAAAACGACAAGUGAGCGUGUUUAAGGAAGGAGCAUAAUUUUGAAGAGCGCUUGUUUGCCAAGAGAAAGAUACAGAACAUUUUGAACCCGAACCAAAAUUAGAACGGAGAGUUGUUCAAGUUGAGCCAAAUAUCAAACAGCUGGAGCUGGUGGUGAAUGAAUUAUACAAUGGUUGUUUUAAAAUUGGUCCUCAAUCCAGGCUGUCGAAAUUUGCUUGCAGAUUCACCGGAGGUCCUUACAUCGC